rnacentral:lncRNA from 1 species
CUCCUCCUUCUCCUUCUUCUCUUCUUCUUCUUCUUCUUCUUCUUCUUCUUCUCCUCCUCCUUCUCCUUCUUCUCUUCUUCUUCUUCUUCUUCUUUCUUUUCAUUUUGCCUAUUUCUUCUCCUCUUCUCCUCUUGUUGGAGCUAAAUUACCUAAUUAUGUCUUUUUUUAGCUAAAUGGGCUAAUUAUCCCAUUUUAGAGGAAAACAA